GCGUACCUGAGCCUCUGAAAUCCUAAAGAAUACUAGUUGCCUCUAGAGAGAAACUAGCCUUCUAACUUGCUCUUGUCUUCUUUGCUCACAGAAACCCGACUGAAGUCUGAAGCUCUGGAUGAGCAUAACCUGGAAACCUGCCUGCCUGCCCACGUAAGCCAAACCUGAAGAUCUCAGUAUGGAUUCCUCCAUCAGCUCUUGGGAAAGAGCUAGGAAACAAGAACGCAAGUCUGAAACUCUCUAGCUCGAAGCUAGACGCUGUUGCUGCUGAGCUCUCUGCUACCUCCACAGACUCUGGACCCAACCGGUUCCUCCUCUCACGGAUCUGUUAAAACCUCCUCAAGAUAAUAUUGAAACCAGUCCCGGGCCUGUACCAGAACCAGAUCUUGAAUCAUUCUGUGUAUUCAUAAAUAAACAUUGUU